rnacentral:rRNA from 1 species
AUUGAACGCUGGCGGCAGGCCUAACACAUGCAAGUCGAACGAGUGGCGGACGGGUGAGUAAUGUCUGGGAAACUGCCCGAUGGAGGGGGAUAACUCCUGGAAACGGUAGCUAAUACCGCAUACCAUCGGAUGUUCCCCGAUGGGAUUAGCUUGUAGGUGAGGUAACGGCUCACCUAGGCGACGAUCCCUAGCUGGUCUGAGAGGCGGAGCAGCCACACUGGGAAGGAGACACGGGCCAGAAUCCUACGGGAGGCAGCAGUGGGGAAUAUUGCACAAUGGGCGAAAGCCUGAUGCAGCCAUGCCGCGUGUAUGAAGAAGGCCUUCGGGUUGUAAAGUACUUUCAGCGGGGAGGCGUUACCCGCAGAAGAAGCACCGGCUAACUCCGUGCCAGCAGCCGCGGUAAUUC